GACGAACGCUGGCGGCGGGCUUAACACAUGCAAGUCGAACGGAAAGGCCCUGCUUUUGUGUGGUUCUCGAGUGGCGAACGGGUGAGUAACACGUGAGUAACCUGCCCUUGACUUGGGGAUAACUGCAGGAAACUGGGGCUAAUACCGGAUAGGAGCGCCUGCUGCAUGGUGGGGGUUGGAAAGUUUAGGCGGAUGUGGCUGGACUCGCGGCUUAUCAGCUUGUUGGUGGGGUAGUGGCUUACCCAGGGUUUGACGGGUAGCCGGCCUGAGAGCGUGAACGGCGACCUUGGGACUACGAUAGGGACCAGAGUCCUACGGGGGGCAGUAGUGGGGAAUAUUGUCCAAUGGGGGGAAGCCUGAUGCAGAGAUGCUGCGUGCGGGAUGAAGGCUUUCGUGUUGUAAACCGCUUUCGCCUGAGACGAAGCGUGAGUGACGGUAAUGGGUAAAGAAGCACCGGCUAACUACGUG
rnacentral:rRNA from 1 species